rnacentral:rRNA from 1 species
UGGGGAAUAUUGCACAAUGGGCGCAAGCCUGAUGCAGCCAUGCCGCGUGUGUGAAGAAGGCCUUCGGGUUGUAAAGCACUUUCAGCGGGGAGGAAGGCGUUAAGGUUAAUAACCUUGGCGAUUGACGUUACCCGCAGAAGAAGCACCGGCUAACUCCGUGCCAGCAGCCGCGGUAAUACGGAGGGUGCAAGCGUUAAUCGGAAUUACUGGGCGUAAAGCGCACGCAGGCGGUCUGUCAAGUCGGAUGUGAAAUCCCCGGGCUCAACCUGGGAACUGCAUUCGAAACUGGCAGGCUAGAGUCUUGUAGAGGGGGGUAGAAUUCCAGGUGUAGCGGUGAAAUGCGUAGAGAUCUGGAGGAAUACCGGUGGCGAAGGCGGACCCCUGGACAAAGACUGACGCUCAGGUGCGAAAGCGUGGGGAGCAAACAGG